GAUUCCUUAACUUAAUAGGUAAAGUGUACUUUUGAUAAGAGUGUGUUCGAUGUUCAAGUCAUCGAGGAAUCA
rfam:Pseudocercospora musae strain CBS 116634 scaffold1973, whole genome shotgun sequence.